AGUAUGACCUGUUGGAUUUGUUGCUGGCAGCGGCGAGACUGCUGGUUCUCAACCUCUUCAGAAACAGUGAUGGUGAUACUACGGGAGCUAGAAACAGUGGUUGCCAUGAAAAGUAUGGCUAAAGAAAUAGCUCCAAGGAUCAUUAUUCUAGCCAUUUUGAAAAGAUUGCCAUGAAAAGUAUGGCUAAAGAAAUGGCUCCAAGAAUCAUUACUUUAGCCAUUUUGUUGAAAACUCAGAUGAUUUUAGUAUUUUCUUUUUGAUGAAUGAAGAUUGUGCUCUAUAGAAGCAGCUAUUUUAUAGGGGAUUAAAGAGG
rnacentral:lncRNA from 1 species